AUUUUCCUCACACACUUGGAAAAAAAUCAAAGGUCAAUCACUCCAGUAGAAGUUUAAAGGAACUCUUCUCACUGGCCCGGGGGCUUGGAGAAGGUGGAAAUU